rnacentral:rRNA from 1 species
CGGCAACAGCUCAAAUUUGAAAUCUGAGCCUUUCAGGCUCCGAGUUGUAAUUUGUAGAGGAUGCUUUGGGGUGGGUACCGGCCUAAGUCCCUUGGAACAGGGCGUCACAGAGGGUGAGAAUCCCGUACGUGGCCGACGGUCUUCCCCGUGUAAAGCUCCUUCGAC